rnacentral:rRNA from 1 species
CAGCCGCCGCGGGAAUACGUAGGGUGCAAGCGUUAAUCGGAAUUACUGGGCGUAAAGCGUGCGCAGGCGGUUCGCUAAGACAGAUGUGAAAUCCCCGGGCUUAACCCGGGAACUGCAUUUGUGACUGGCGGGCUAGAGUAUGGCAGAGGGGGGUAGAAUUCCACGUGUAGCAGUGAAAUGCGUAGAGAUGUGGAGGAAUACCGAUGGCGAAGGCAGCCCCCUGGGCCAAUACUGACGCUCAUGCACGAAAGCGUGGGGAGCAAACAGGAUUAGAUACCCCUGUAGUCCCUGUCUCUUAUAC